rnacentral:rRNA from 1 species
ACGAACGCUGGCGGCGUGCUUAACACAUGCAAGUCGAGCGGAAAGGCCCUUUGGGGUACUCGAGCGGCGAACGGGUGAGUAACACGUGAGUAAUCUGCCCUGCACUCUGGGAUAGCCACCGGAAACGGUGAUUAAUACCGGAUAUGACAUAUCGACGCAUGUUGGUGUGUGGAAAGUUUUUUCGGUGUGGGAUGUGCUCGCGGCCUAUCAGCUUGUUGGUGGGGUAAUGGCCUACCAAGGCUUCGACGGGUAGCCGGCCUGAGAGGGUGACCGGUCACACUGGGACUGAGACACGGCCCAGACUCCUACGGGAGGCAGCAGUGGGGAAUAUUGGACAAUGGGCGGAAGCCUGAUCCAGCAACGCCGCGUGAGGGAUGACGGCCUUCGGGUUGUAAACCUCUUUUAGUAGGGAAGAAGCGUAAGUGACGGUACCUGCAGAAAAAGCACCGGCUAACUACGUGCCAGCCGCCGCCGUAAAAC